UUUAUCAGUGGCUAAGAGAAUGGGGGGUUGAAUCUUAGCCCCUUUUUCGCUUAAUAACUCUUGUUGUCCUUUUAUCACACUUGAGGAGAUAUUUCUUGUUUUUGUCUCAUGCCUAGUCAAGAGACUUUUUCUUUUUGUCUCGUAACCAGCCAAGAGAUAUUUUUUUAGUUUUGUCUCCUAUGCAGCAGAAACAGAAAUGGAGUAGAAGAGAGAGAAAAUCACACCAAAAUGUAUCCUGGUUCAGCUGCUAAGUGCAAUGCAGUCUACAUCCAGUCUCCAUCACAACAAUGAUGAAAUUUUCACUAUAAUCAUCAUUACAUACACCAAUUCUCCCUAGGAACUACCCUUCAUAUCCAGGACAAGUCCAGAAUCUAACUCUAAUCCUGAACUUGACUUGGUAACCCACCAAGCUUUCAACGGCUAAGUGCUAACCCAACUUGCAAAGGGAUUCCCACAGAAUCAUGAAACACAACACAGAUGUACAAAGGACCUCUAGGACAUCUAUGACUUU
rnacentral:lncRNA from 1 species